AAUCGGGGCAUAGCGGGGACGGAUCGGAGUUUCGCACGGGAGCCGGUUCGGGUCAACCAGCGACUUCAGCGUCGGGCCAGGGACGGCCGGCUUGUGUGGUUGGAGUCGGCCGGUCAGGCGGACGAGAUUGUCUCUGAGAUUUUGAUUGCGUAAGAGGAAAGGGUCGUAAGGACUUUUGACGGAUCACAUUGUGGUGAGGAGGACCUGGUAAAGGAUAAUGACGGAUAUACCUCCCCUCACGUACCGUCGUAGAGAGACGACGGGCGGCAGGUUUUGUCUUCUUGUUUUUAAUGUUUUGAGAUAGAAGGAUUAGAGAUGACAUGUAAGGAAAUGUUUUUGGACAUCUUUCAUAUUUUGGAAAUCUUCAUGUUUUGAUUUACUAUGAAGAUGUGUUGUUGAAUGAAUAGAAAGAAAGAAAAGUCUCCUCUUGGUUUUA